UACGGAGGGUGCAAGCGUUAAUCGGAAUUACUGGGCGUAAAGCGCACGCAGGCGGUCUGUCAAGUCGGAUGUGAAAUCCCCGGGCUCAACCUGGGAACUGCAUCCGAAACUGGCAGGCUUGAGUCUUGUAGAGGGGGGUAGAAUUCCAGGUGUAGCGGUGAAAUGCGUAGAGAUCUGGAGGAAUACCGGUGGCGAAGGCGGCCCCCUGGACAAAGACUGACGCUCAGGUGCGAAAGCGUGGGGAGCAAACAGG
rnacentral:rRNA from 1 species